GUUGCAAAAUUUAUGGGGAGGGGCGCGUACACGUGUUAUGAUACAGACAAAAUAAAGUUGUCAAUGAUUUACAGUAGUUUUAUGUAGAUUAUGAUGUUGUAGUCAUAUGGCAAAUUUCCAACAAGAUGCAUUUCUUCAUGCAAGUUUUUUGUUAAUUUUCUGUUGGGUGUUUUUUUUAAUAGUGAGCUCUUGCAAAAAUUAUUUCACAAAAUUUCCUAUUUGAAAAAUGAUUUUUAUUUCUCUGUUUCACAUCCGUUUUGUGCAGGGCUCUUUCAUGUAGUGCACCAGUGGAGGUGUACUCUGCGCGAGUCAAGUCUAGGGCACUGGCCAUUCUGCCACUGGUAUGCUGGCAGUGUGGGGAAACAGACACGCUUCCCAUCCCUCCAGAGAAACUGCAGUGUUUCAGAGCAUUCAUCCAGUGUGCCAGGUGUGCAAAGCCACUCGUGUUGAAGAGCGUACAAGAGUAAAGAGAAAGCUGGAGAGGAAGGGAUCUAGAGAGGAAGAAGAUGGACCACUAACUUUCAGGGAGAGAAAACUGCGAAGGAGGAAGCUGCGAAGGAGGAA